rnacentral:rRNA from 1 species
GUCUAUGACCAUGCUACCCUGAACAAGCCUGAUCUCGUUUGAUCUCGGAAGCUAAGCAGAGUCGGACCUGGUUAGUACGUGGAUGGGAGACCACCUAGGAAGACCAGGUGCUGUAAGCA